rnacentral:rRNA from 1 species
CACGUAGGGGACGAGCGUUGUCCGGAUUCAUUGGGCGUAAAGCGCGCGUAGGCGGCUCGGCAAGUCGGUCGUGAAAUGCCGGGGCUCAACCCCGGGACUGCGUCCGAUACUCCCGAGCUGGAGGCAGGUAGGGGAGAUCGGAAUUCCUGGUGUAGCGGUGAAAUGCGCAGAUAUCAGGAGGAACACCGGUGGCGAAGGCGGAUCUCUGGGCCGUGCCUGACGCUGAGGCGCGAAAGCUAGGGGAGCGAACAGG